rnacentral:lncRNA from 1 species
UCUAAUUUAGAUACAUUGAACUUAAUCUCUUUUGUUCAAUUUCCAUGUAGGUUUCAACUUCUUAGUGACAAUCAACUUCUCAAAAGAUCUUCUAGAUAAAGAGAUCUUCUAUAUAGACUUUCUUUUCUCUUGUUGGAUUUAACUUACACACCAAGAUUGUUCCACCUCUUUCCUUCUGUUGUAAGAUUCUUUCAAGAUUUUAACUUUAUUGCAGCAAAU